UACGAAGGGGCUAGCGUUGCUCGGAAUCACUGGGCGUAAAGCGCACGUAGGCGGAUUGUUAAGUCAGGGGUGAAAUCCUGGAGCUCAACUCCAGAACUGCCUUUGAUACUGGCGAUCUUGAGUCCGGGAGAGGUGAGUGGAACUGCGAGUGUAGAGGUGAAAUUCGUAGAUAUUCGCAAGAACACCAGUGGCGAAGGCGGCUCACUGGCCCGGUACUGACGCUGAGGUGCGAAAGCGUGGGAGCAACAGG
rnacentral:rRNA from 1 species